UACGUAGGGUGCAAGCGUUAAUCGGAAUUACUGGGCGUAAAGCGUGCGCAGGCGGUUUAGUAAGUCUGAUGUGAAAUCCCCGGGCUCAACCUGGGAAUUGCAUUGGAGACUGCAAGGCUAGAAUCUGGCAGAGGGGGGUAGAAUUCCACGUGUAGCAGUGAAAUGCGUAGAGAUGUGGAGGAACACCGAUGGCGAAGGCAGCCCCCUGGGUCAAGAUUGACGCUCAUGCACGAAAGCGUGGGGAGCAAACAGG
rnacentral:rRNA from 1 species